rnacentral:rRNA from 1 species
UAACGCGUGGGUGACGUACCUGUUGGUGGGGAAUAACUGCCCGAAAGGGUGGCUAAUUCCGCAUAAGUCCUUCGGUUCGAUCUGAAGGGGAAAGCUUCUGGUAAAACAGAGGCGCCGAUGGAGCGGCCCGCGUCCGAUUAGCUGGUUGGUGGGGUAACGGCCUACCAAGGCGACGAUCGGUAGCUGGUCUUAGAGGAUGAUCAGCCAGACUGGGACUGAGACACGGCCCAG